UCCUGGUCCUGGCCCCGGCGGCCGGCCGAGCAUCCUCCGGCGGGGGCCCUGCCUGGCGCCGCGGCGAGCCGGGGCUGCCGCGAGGCGGGCGGGGGAGCGGGCGAGCGGCACUUCCAGCGCUCUGGGGCUGCGCAUCGUCCCGGCUUGUAUUUAAGGCGGCGGAGCUCAGCUCGGCUCCUCCCCCGCAUUCUCGGAAAACACGCGGCCUCUGUUCACUUUCGCUUUCCCAAAGAGUUUGGUGGCACUGAGCCAGCGGUACCACCGGCCCCGGAGAACGCCCCGCGGGCUCCCCGCCCCGCCGCUGGGGAUGCUCUUCGACCUCUCUUCUCAUGUCCGACUACGUCUGGGUUUGCUCUUUUCUUGCUUUAUUUUUUCGGACAGCCCCGGCGGAGCAGGCGGUGGCCGCGGGCACGGCCGAGAGGUGCUGCGGGGGAAAUGCGAGCACGGAGCGCUCUGAGGCCCCAGGGAGGCAAGGGGACACUAGAGGAGUUUGAAUAAGCCCACCGGGAAGCCAGCUCUGCAGACUGUUUCCAGAGCAGCAAGCAGUACUGUGCAUUAAUCUCCGGAUUUCCCCGUAAGAGCAUCCCUGGGAAAAUCAUCAUGUGCAUUUCCCUGUUUUGUCACGAAACCGGAGGAGCUUCACCAACUCCAAGUAAACACCAAGCACCCUUUCUCGCUGAGCAGGGUGGGAGCCCAGGGUGGUUCCAGCAGCGGGGGCGCGGGGCAGGGGCAGAG
rnacentral:lncRNA from 1 species